rnacentral:rRNA from 1 species
UCGCACGUCAGGGCGUCGCCUCGAAUGAAUCGGCCGAAUGUGCGGACGAGAUCCAUUAGGACUGACCGUUCAGAGACCAUAAACCUCUGAUUUGACCUCAGAUCAGGUAGGGACACCGCCUGAACUUAAGCAUAUCAAUAAGGCGAGGAACAGAAACCAACAGGGAUUCCCUCAGUAGUGGCGAAUGAAGCGGGAAAAGCUCAAGUUUGAAAUCUGGAGGCGACUUCAGAGUUGUAAGCUGAAGAGGUGUCGACCGACGCGGUCCGGGCCCAAUUUCCUUGGAACAGGAGGUCAUGGAGGGUGAGAACCCCGUCCUUGGCUCGGGAGCCGAUGUCCUUGUGUCGUAUCCUCGAAGAGUCGGGUUGUUUGGGAAUGCAGCUCAAAAUGGGUGGUAAAUUUCAUCUAAAGCUAAAUACUGGCGAGAGACCGAUAGCAAACAAGUAGAGUGAUCGACUGAUGAAAAGUACUUUGAAAAGAGAGUGAAACAGUACGUGAAAUUGUUGAAAGGGAAGCGUUUGGCAUCAGCCCUCGGCGCUCGACGAUCAUCUGGGCUUCAUGUCCGGUGCACUUGUCGAACGUCGGGCCAGCGUCGGCUUUGCCCAUGGGAGAAAGGUGUGAGGGAUGUGGCUCCCUUCGGGGAGCGUUAUAACCCCAUACGUCA